GACGAACGCUGGCGGCGUGCUUAACACAUGCAAGUCGAGCGGUAAGGCCCUUUCGGGGGUACACGAGCGGCGAACGGGUGAGUAACACGUGGGUGACCUGCCCUCAGCUCUGGGAUAAGCCUGGGAAACCGGGUCUAAUACCGGAUAUGACUCCAUGACGCAUGUUGUGGGGUGGAAAGCCUUGUGCGGCGUGGGGAGUGGGCCCGCGGCCUAUCAGCUUGGUUGGUGGGGUGAUGGCCUACCAAGGCGACGACGGGUAGCCGGCCUGAGAGGGCGACCGGCCACACUGGGACUGAGACACGGCCCAGACUCCUACGGGAGGCAGCAGUGGGGAAUCUUGCGCAAUGGGCGAAAGCCUGACGCAGCGACGCCGCGUGAGGGAUGACGGCCU
rnacentral:rRNA from 1 species